rnacentral:lncRNA from 1 species
AAGUGGCGCUCCGGGGAGAAGGUGGCUGCGGCUGCUGGGGCCGCUGCGCCGGCGGCGGUUCCCGAUGUGGAGGUCCGUCUUGGGUGGGGAGGCACCCAGGUCGCUGGUUCGAUGCAGAGGAAGAAACCACACCUAGCACGUAAAGCCCUGAAAAAAUAGAGGUGGUUGUUUUUCUUGAGAAAUGGGAGGACUGGGAAGAGGAACUUGGUUGGGUUCACUGGGGAGGGCAGAAGCAAUAGGCCGCUGGUAGGAGGAGCGAAAUAAGUGACAGAUUUCAACUUAGUUCCAAGGUUUAUUUGCUGGAAGGAGGGUGGAUGUGGGAAGAAAAUUGAAGGGAUUAGGACAUACACCGUUGGAGGAUGCGUUUUGGCCAAACGUGUAGACAAGUUCUCGCAUUCUGGUACUUUCACAAAGCAAUGGUAAAGUACUCCCUAGUUUGCUGAUGAGGGGCGGGGGAAGGGAUGGUCAAAGAGAAUAUUGCGGGGAACCAUAGGAUUGCAGUCUGACGUGGGAUUUAGGGAAGCUGCGGGAAUAACCAAAAUGAAGACAGAAUUGAGAGUUCUAGAGACAAAGUGAAAAUAACUGAUAAGUAAUGAAUUCAGAGUUGUAAGGGUCGGUGUUGGUUUUAUUAGGCUGUAAUGAGUAUAAAAUAUUACCUUUCCGUAUAAUAGCUUACAAGCUAACAAAGUCAAGAAACUCAAACAUUAACUCGGAAAAUAUACACUGGGCUUCAAGGAAUCGCAUAGGACAUGCUCCCCAAGUUUUGCCCAGAUUGUCUUAUUUUUGGUUAUCGCUGAAGAAAACACCUACAACUGCAUUUUGAAACUAGACUCCUGGCCAGGCGCGGUGAUGCAUGCCUGUAAUCCCAGCACUUUGGUAGGCCAAGGCCUCCAAAUUGCUUGAGCGCAGAAGUUUGAGACCAGUCUGGCCAACAUGGAAAAAACCCGUCUCUACAAAGAUAAUAGUAAUACAAAAAUAAGCUGGGCAUGGUGCCAGUAGUCCCUGCUACUCAGGAGGCUGAGGUGGGAGGAUCACUUGAGCCCCAGAGGUGGAAGCUGCAGUGAGCCGUGAUCACACCACUGCACUCCAGCCUGGGCGACAGAAUGAGACUCUGUCGAAAAACAAAACAAAAAAUCAGAAACUAGAUUUCUUAAAAGGUUAUUAAAUACCCACCCAUGCCUAAAGCUCUUUCCUGGAAUUCAAAAUUACCAUUUCUUGAAAGAGCUUCAGUAACUGCAACAGAAAAGAGGCCUGAGGAUGCCAAGGUGUUUAGGUUUAUUUUGUGAUUGAAAAUAAGGAAAUAAGUUUCACCAAAAGAAGCAGCAGCUAAUUGCCAAUUCAGAGCAGCUGUUCCUUCACAAAAAUGCCAUAAUAACUCAAAUAUUUGAGUAUUAUCAAAACUUGCCAAAUUAUACAAAUGAAUUAAUUUGUUUUUCUGUUAUCUGCUUCAUCUGAAACACAGGUCAAAGCCAUGACUUAGAGGUUUUAACGUAAAGAAAAUGGUUCCGCUAAUUGUAUAGAACCUCUCAGCAGUCUACAACAGUAGCUCCAGGUCUUGUCGUUUUUCUAGAGAAAAAGGGCCUAGUUUUCUUCUGUGGUGAUCUAUUAAAUAAAAACACUAUAUUAAGAUAAAUUGGCCAAAUAUAGGAGUAGAAAUGUGACUAAGAUGUUUGAACAAAUAACAUAUGGAAUGCUAAACAUAUGGAAUGCUAAACGUAUGCCAUUUUUCUCCUGGAACCAACAAAAAAUAGACAAAUUCCUGGCUUGGGAAAAUUAUCUGGGCACUGUGUUUUGGUUUAAGUAUCAAAAAAUUUGUAGUUUUCAAUCUGUGUUCCACUGUGCCCUUUACCAUAAGCAGUGAAGAUAAAUUUAAUUCCUUUUCACUAAUAGUUUCAUUGCUCAUUUUUUAAAUUGUCAAAUGUUAAGCCUUUUCCAAAUCUAUUAUGUCUUUGUAUUGUAAGAUUUUUCUUCCCCCCACAAAUAUUGUUUAAGUGUUCUCAAGACUUUGAGGCAGGUUGGUUCUGUAGAGGCAGGCCUGGUUCUUGGUCUUAACAGAAAACCUUCAAGUUCCUCACCAUUAAGUAUGUUGUUAGCUGUAGGGUUUUUGUAGAUGUUCUUUAGCAAGCUAAAGCUCGCUGAGAGUUAUCGUAACAUAAGUGUUAGAUUUUGUCAAAUGCUUUUUCUGCAUCUAUUGAUAUGAACAUGUGAUUUUUCUUCUUUAGCCUGUUAAUGUGAUUGAUUACAAUAAUUGAUUGUUGAAUAUUUAACCAGCCUUGCAUACUUGGGAUAAGUCCCACUUGGUCAUGGCUUAUACUUCCUCUUAUACAUUGUUGGAUUUAAUCUGCUAGUAUUUUGUUGAAGAUUUUUGCAUCUAUGUUCAUGAGAAAUAUUGGUUUGGUUUUCUUAUAAUGUCUUUAUCUGAUUUUGGUAUUAUAGUAAGGCUGGGCUCAUGAAUAAGUUAGGAAGUAUUCCUUUGCUUCUAUCUUCUGGAAUAGAUUAUACAGAAUUGGUAUAAUUUCUUCCUUAAAUGUUUGAUAUUACUCACCAAUGAACCCACCUAAGCACAGUGUUUUCCACUUUAGAAGGUUAUUAACCAUUCUGUUUCUUCAUUUCUGUUUUUUAUUUUCUUAUUUAUUUCCAUCUCCCUGCCUAGAUUUUCUAGCUGCAAGAUUAAAAGAUUGAAAAAGGUAGAGAAAGGCUUCUUUUUUUGUUUAGUUUUCUAUUAUGUGUGAUAUAUAUAUGGGAUCUUCAACUACAGGGACCUGUAUCCCUAAUGCCUUGCAUAUUAUGUGGUACCUAAUAGGUUAUGACAGUGAUUUACUUUAACAAUUAUUCAGGAAAUCUGCUUACCUUUUCCUUGUGUACACAGGGCUAGAUUAUUAUUCAGGCUGUCUAACAGCCAGGUGUUGUCAAGUAACUGAGUUCUGACCACCUGAAUGUGGAUAGAAGUGAUGUAGGCACAGGCCUGGCUCAUAAAAGCCUCCCACAUGACAGCCUUAGUCUUUCUCCGUCACCAAGCAGGAUAAAAGUGUGCAGAGGACUCCAAGGUCCAAGGAGAUGUUAAGGACAAAAACUAGGAGAUUGAGUUUAUGAGUCAUUGCCUAGAGAAACAACUGCUGAUAAGUAACAUCCAUUAGGAUUUUCCAUGAUUUAGAAAUAAACUACUGUUAAACUUACUGAGAUUUGGAGGGUUAUCUGUCACAGCAGGAAGUAUUAUUUUAACCAAUUCAUAUAAUAGACAUAAGCUGAUCUUAAUUCAACUUUGUUUCAGAAAUGUUAAAAUUGUAAUCAACCAAAGUCUUCUGACUUUAUUUCUCCCUUUUGAGAAGGAAAAAAGAAAAACCAUUAAUUACUACAAUCAAUAGAACAACAGUUUUCUGGAUUUAAAGUCAUACACAUUAAGCAGCUGUACAGUGCGCUUCUGACUGGCUUCCUAAAGAGUUACAGCAUGUAAAGAUUCUUAAUAUACCCUCAGAGUUAAGUGUAAACAAAUAUCCAAGUCACGUAGAUAUUAUCUCACUAUGAAAAUUGGGCACAGUAUAGAUCAUAAGUCCAGUUGGCAAGAAACUAAUCAUCAUUGGCUCAAGUUAUUUAUGUAUGUUAGUUUAAUAUUCUGAAUUUACUCAUUAGCUGAGACAUUCUUUGAAUGCCCACUAUGUGUUUUACAGCAUACCAGUCACUUAGGCAUGCCCACAUUGAAGGAGCUCAGUUUCAUUGGAAUCACAGAUAUAAAUGACCUAUUAAAAUAUUAUAUGAUUAAGUAGAUUAUGUAAAAAGUGCUGUGGGACACUGUAAAAAAUCAUUUAGAACUAUGUGAGAAAAUCAGUCAAGGUUUAAGAGAGGAGUUACCAGUUACAGAUAACAAUGUAUUUUUUUCCACUGACCUAAGCCUUUCAAGCAAAAUCAGAAAACUGUAAUUUUCACUAAAAUAAAUCAUCAAUGGAAUGACCUAGUUUAAGACCCUUUUGGAAGACAGAUAGAGUCCUAGAAAUCUCUACUACAUCAAAACAAAUCAGAGGGAUAGGCAAACAUGCCAAUAUAACUGAAUAAAGAGCCCAGAAAGAAACCCCUUCAAACAUGGCAUCUUUAUAUAUGACAAUCAAUGGCAAAGAGUGCAUAUUUCAGUAAUUGAUACUAGAACAAUUACUACCUAUAUGGAGAAAAAUUAGAUUCCUACCUCAGAUGUAGGAAAGAAGUCCAAGUUUUAUGAAGCCAAAAACUUAUAAUUUGGGGAUUCCUAAGGAAAUUCCAAAAUAAAUUAACUUUUGAAAAUUUUGUAAAAACACAACCCAUGUGAACAUUACUUGGGCUUCUCCCAGAGCCUUGAAAAGAGCUUAUACAAGUGAUGGUAGAGUAAAUCUACCUCUGUUCACAACGAACACAAAAAUAAACUCAAAAUGGAUUAAAAAUUCAAUAUUUUUUUUAAUUUUUAGAGAAAUUAUAGGACAAAAAUUGUUAUGCCUCAGAGAGGAAGGAAUUCUUAAAUAAGGUAAGGCACAAAGACAUAAAAAGGACAAACUUUCAAUGAAAAGCUUAGUAAGUUUAUACAUUAAAAUUAAAAAAGCUUGUUCAUCAAAGAACAUGUCAAAAUACAAGCACAUGUCAAAAUACAAGCCACAAGCUGGGUGACGAUGAUGAAAAAUGUUCAUUACUCAACAAAGAAAAAGAACUCAUUUUAUAAUACACUACAAAUUAAUGAACAAAUGCAAUAGAAAACCAACCAAUUCAUAGAAGAGGAAACCCAAAUGUGUAAUAAUCACAAAAAACAUGUUCAGCUCCACUAAUCAGGGGAAUUCAAUUUAAAACAAUAAUGACCUAUUCCAUACCUAUCAGACUGACAAUAUUUUUAAUGUAUAAUGUUAAUGAGUGGCAUGAUAGGAACCUAGUGCACUGUUGCUGAGAACAACACAGUGGAGAGGAAUUAAGCAAUAUCUAGCAGAGUUGAAGACGCAUAUACCCUAUGACCCAACAAAUCUACUUGUAAGUAUUAUAGAAACUUGCAGGCCAGGCGCAGUGGCUCACACCUGUAAUCCCAGCACUUUGGGAGGCCGAGGCAAGCGGAUCACCUGAGGUCAGAAGUUCGAGACCAGCCUGGCCAACAUGUAGUAAAACCCCAUGUCUACUAAAAAAAAAAAAUACAAAAAUUAGCCAGGUGUGGUGGUGCACGCCUGCAGUCCAGCUACUUGGGAAGCUGAGGCAGGAGAAUUGCUUGAACCCAGGAGGCAGACGUUGCAGUGAGCCGAGAUCGCACCAGUACACUCCAGCCUGGGUGACAGAGCAAGACUCUGUCUCUCAAAAAAAAAAAAAAAAAGAAAGAAACUUGUGUGUAUGCACAAGGAGAUAUGUUUAACACUAUUUUGCAGCAUUGUUUGUACCAGUUGAGUAUCCUUUAUCCAAAAUGCUUGGGACCAGAACUGUUUCAGAUUUCAAUUAUUUUCAGAUUUUGGAAUAUUUGCAUUAUACUUACCACUUUAACAUCCCUAAUCCAAAAAUCUAAAAUCCUCCAAAGAACAUUUCCUUGAGGGUCAUGCAUAUUAUACACUCAAAAACGUUCAGAUUUUGAAGCAUUUUUGGUUUGGGGAUUAGGAUGUUCAACCUGUAUUAGUAAAACAGUGGAAACAAUUGAAAUGUCAGUAGGACAGUAGUUAACUAUCAUAUUCAUACAAUAGAAUAUUACAUAGUAGUGAAAAUGAAUGUUAUGACUUUCAAAUAUUUUACCUACAGUGAGAAAUAUAUUUCAUACCAUGACUCAAUAUAUAUAUGCUUAUAUAUAAUCACAUACAUAUAUGUAUAUAGGCAUUAAAUUGAGUACUUAUGAUACAUUUUAUUUACUGUUCUGUUUUUUCUAAAGCAGUUCAUGACCUGCUAUAUUGAUUUUCUGUGCUACUAAUGAUUUGAAACCUACAGUUUGAAAAAAAAAAAAAACUAAACAAAGUUAUAUAUUUAUCAACAUGAAUAAAUCUGAAUAACAAGUAUAGCAUAUUAUAUAGUGUGUGUAUAUAUAUGUAUAUAUACACAUACAUACAUAUACAUGUAUAUGGUAUUCAAGAAAUGCUAUAUAUUGUGAUACCUAUAUUUAUAUAAAGGAAUAAUUUUUAAAACUUAUGAGAAAGGUAAAUACCAAAUUCAGGAUAGUAUUAUUACCUCUGAAGAAGAAGACAUGGAAAAUAAAACGGGAAGGGAAUACUGGGUAUUUCAACUGUAUCUGUAAUGUUUUCCUUAUUUUACAAAAGGAAAAAUGUUAAUAUUUGAUAGGUGUUGAGUACAUGGGUGUUAUUCAUAUUUUUUUCAAAAUACUUGAUUAUUAAAAUUAACUAGAAUAAUAUUUCUUAAUUUUAUAUCACACUUUGAAAAAAAAUCAUCUCACUUUUUCCAAACAGGAAUUUACAGGUAUUUUAUUAUCUUAAUUAUCUGUAGCAAAUUUUAAAGGAACGUUGCUGGGUGCAGUGGCUCACACCUGUAAUCUCAGCACUUUGGGAGGCCAAGGCAGGAGGAUCACUUGAGGCCAGGAGUUGGAGACCAGCCUGGGCAACAUAGUGAGACCCCAUCUCUUUAAAAAAAAAAUGUGUGUGUGUGUGUGUGUGUGUGUAUUUUAUUUUUUUAAUUGGCCAGGUAUGAUGGUGUACACCUAUACUCCCAGCUACUUGGGAGACUGAGGUGAGAUGAUCACUUAAGGCCAGAAGAUCAAGGCUGCAGUGAGCUAUGAUUGUUCCACUGCUUUCUAGACAGGGUGACAGAGCAAGACUCUGACUCUAAAAAAAUAAAUAAGGUAAAAUAAAAAUAAGAAGCCCAGCACAGUGGUUUAUGCCAGUAAUCAUUCCCAACAUUUCAGGAGGCCAAGCAGGAGGAUCACUUGAGCUGAGGAGUUCAAGACUGGCCUGGGCAAGACAGUAAGACCAUCUCUACAAAAAAUAAACAAAAAAUUAGCCGGGCAUGGUGGUGCAUGCUUGUAGUUCCAGCUGCUUGGGAGGCUGAGGUGGGAGGAUUGCUUGAGCCUGGAAGGUCAUGGCUGUAGUGAGCCGAGAUCGCACCACUGCACUCCAGCCUGGGUAACACAGUGAGACCCUCUCUCAAAAUAAAUACAGUCAGGCAUAGUGGCUCAUGUCUGUAAUUCCAGCACUUUGGGAGACCAAGGCAGGCAGAUCAUUUGAGGCCAGGAGUUUGAGACCAGCCAGGCCAACAUGGUGUAACCCCAUCUCUACUGAAAAUACAAAAAAAUUAGCUGGUCGUGGUGGCACAUGCCUGUAGUCCCAGCUACUCAGGAGGCUGAGGCAGGAGAAUCACUUCAACCGGGGAGGUGGAGGUUGCAGUGAGCCGAGAUCAUGCCACUGCAUUCCAGCUUGGGCAACAGAGCAAGACUCCGUAUAAAAACAUAAAUAAAUUAAAAUGUUUUAAAAAGUUGUGGUCAAUCUUUAGGGUUAUCUUAAGUAUCUUUUUUUUUUUUUUCAAGACAGGGUCUGACUCUGCCGCCCAGACUAGGGUAUGGUAGUACAAUCAUGUAGCUAACUAUAAACUCAAUUUCCUAGGCUCACGUGAUCCUCCCGCCUCAGCCUCCUGAGUAAUUAGGACUACAGGUGUGGUGGCCUGCACCUGUAAUCCCAGCUACUCAGGAGGCUGAGGUAGCUUGAACCCAGGAGGCAGAGGUUGCAGUGAGCCAAAAUUGUGCCACUGCACUCCAGCCUGGGCAACAGAGCGAGACUCCAUCUCAAAAAAAAAAAAUUGAGAGGAGUGUUAUCCUAGAUUUUCCAGGUGAGCUCUAAAUCCAGUAACAAGUGUCUGUACAAGAAUGAGGCAAAGAAAGAUAACACAGAUAGGAGGAAGCAAUGCCACCAUGACGACACAGACUGGAAUGACACCGUUAACAGCUGAGGAUGCCAAGAACCACCAGAAACUGGACGAGGCAAAAACAGAUUCUCCUCUAGAGCCUCUAGAGAGAGUAUAGCCCUGCUGACACCUUGAUUUUCUUCUGACCUCCAGCACUGUGAAAGAAUAAACUUCUGUUGUUUAAGCCACCCAGUUUACAGUAAUUUGUUGUAGCAGUCAUAUUUUAAGAAGAAAACUGGGGGAAUAAAUUUGGUGUAAGGAAAUGUUAUAGGAAAUCUAGGUCCACCUGCCUGGUUAUGGUGACAAAGGGUGAAUACUUUCCUAAGUUAGCAACAUCAGAAACAUCUUUAAAGUCUUUUUCUACAUGAAUUUCCUUAUUGGUUGCAGUGAUUUUAAAAUAUGUCCACAAAUUAUUUAAUUAUACCCCCUCCAAAAGUUGGAGCCUAAUUCUCCUCCCUUUGAGUAUGGAUUAUAUUUAUUGGCUUACUUCUAACAAUACAAUGUGGCAGAAGUGACCGUUUGUGACUUCCAAAAUUAGGACAUAAAAGACUUUGUGGCUUUCUCCUUGUUCUUUGACUUAGAUUAUUCGCUCUGGGAGAAGCCAGCUGUUGUGUCAUAAGGAUACUCAAGCUGCACUAUGCAAUGUCCACAUGGCAAAAACUCAGUCCUCUUGCCAACAGGAAACCCAAGAACUUGGGCUAUCUGAGCACAGUCAGCCUUAAAAUGACUGUAGUUCGGGGCCGGCCUUCAAGCGUCAGCAACGCAAGACGGCAGCCACCAUGGGCUCGGGAGUAAAAGUCCCUCACAAUUUCUGACUGUUGGAAGAACUCAGAGAAGGCCAGAAAGGAGUAGGAGAUGGCACAGUUAGCUGAGGUCUAGAAGAUGAUGAAGACAUGACAAAAGAUGGACAGGGAUGAUAAUUGGGCCUCCAAGAACAAUUUAUGAAAACCAAAUAUACAGCCUUAAAAUAGAAUGUGGACCUAAAUACCCACUAGCACCCCCCUUUGUAAGAUUUGUAACAAAAAUUAAUGUAAAUGGAGUUAAUAGUUCUAAUGGAGUAGUGGACCCAAGAGCCAUAUCAGUGCUAGCAAAAUGGCAGAAUUCAUAUAGCAUCAAAGUUGUCCUGCAAGAGCUUCAGUGCCUAUUGAUGUCUAAAGAAAAUAUGAAACUCCCUCAGCCACCGGCAGGACAGUGUUACAGCAAUUAAUCAAAAAGAAAAACCACAGGCCCUUCCGCUUCCCCCCGCCCGAUUCGAUUUAAGCAGUCUUCGUUUUCCACAGUAGUAAAUUUUCUAGAUACAUCAUGUAGACCUCAAAGUACUGGAAAGGAAGCUCCAAUUCAAAGGAAAUUUAUCUUAAGAUACUGUAAAUGAUACUAAUUAUCCAUUUGAAAUAUAUAAGUUUUGCUAUAACAAAUCAUCCUAUCAAGUGUAACCACUGUCCACGUAGUUGAACUUCUGGAAUCGAGAAAUUCUAAUUAAAUUGAUUCCCAUCAUAACUAGUGGGGCAUAUCUAACUCAACUGUGAAAAGAAACAUCACACAAUCACCUUGCUGAUUACAUGGCCUGGGGGUCUCUGCCUUCUCCCCUUACCCUCCUGCCUCCCACCCUCCCUGCAACAGCCCUCUAGCUUGGCUUGUUAGAGUGGAUGUGAAGGUUUCAGGUUGCAGCCUGUGGGACUACUGCUAGGUGUGUGGGGUGCUUCACCUGCACCCCUGGUUUCUUUAAGUCUUAUGCACCUUCCAAUCCGUCAUCCUGUCCCCACACUCCUCCACUCCUGCCUUUGGCAGAAGCAUAGGUUGUAACCCCUCCGCUCCCCUCUAAGAUUGGCCUUUGGUAAGGAAUUCAGGGCUUUCCCAGUAUCUUCUCUCCCCCACCUUUAUCGAGGGAUGCUGUUUUUUCUUCCCUCCUCAAGUUGCUUUCUGCACCAUCACCACUCAAUACCUUCCAUGACACUUCCUUGCUUUGGGCAGAAGCCAUCAGGUAAGGUUAGAAAGUCUCUAACCUCCCUUGUUUAGUUUUGGAACCAUACUUAUUCAUUCUCCAUCAGCCUGGGAAAUGAAUAUUGGGUUUUCAGCCCUGCCACCCUCUGCUGUCGUCAGCUGAUGCGUUGUUUUUAGCUCAGGUUUUGAUAAGGUGAAAAGGAAAGUCACCAGGGUUACUCAGACCUGCCAGCUCUCGGAGUCCUUGGUGGUUGAAAUUGGAGAAAGACCACAAGAAGACACUUGUAAGCACACGUGAUCCCUCUGAAUUGUUUUACUUCCUGUAAUUGCUUUUGCUUUUAAAAACUGAAGAAGUUUUAAACAGGGCUUUCAUUUGGUCAUCCUUGCAAUCCAUUGAGGUCUAGUUUGGAAUCUGACAACUGGAACAAAAAGAACCUUGAAUCCAGUGCGUGCCUUGGUUUUGGUGCUGCUGCUGCUUCUCAAGAUCCUCAGCAGGGAUUAAGAAAGAACCCAGUGUGCAUAGCAGAUCCCUGAAAUUGGCGGGCUUGACCUCCUGGGAAAUUGGUGUACAGUAGAGUUUUCCAGAGGCUACAUGACAUGCAGUAUCACAACGGAAGCAAAUAUAAGAACCCACCUGUCUCCUGUUAAAAUGCAAAAUGUAAAACAAUACCACUUUGCUAACUGUUUUUGUUUGGGGAAAUAUAGUUCAUAAAAAUAUUUAUGUUAACAUGUAAUUUAGGUUAAAAUAAAUUAAUAAAUAUUUGUAAAUUGUCUGUUUUAAUUUCUAAUAUGGUAAAUACAGAUAGAUAUAACCCAUAUAAACAAAACCUGUUUGGGGUCCUCAAUAAUAUUGAAGAGUGUUAUACAGGGGUCCUAAGGCCAAAGAAUUUGAUAAUGCUGCUCUAAGUCUUCCUUAUCCAUUAAAGUCCAAAUGAAAGCUGGGAACAGUAGCUAAUGCCUGUAACCCCAGUGCUUUGGGAGGCCGACAUAGGAGGAUUACUUGAGGCCAGGAGUUUGAGACCAGACAGGGCAACAUACGGAGACCCUGUUGCUACAAAAAUAAAUUUAAAACGUAGUUGGUCAUGGUGGCACAUGUCUGUAGUCCUAACUACUUGGGAGGCUGAGGCAGGAAGAUCACUUGAGCCUAGGAGCUUGAGGCUGCUAUGAUCCCGCCACUGCACUCCAGCCUGGGUGACAAAGCAAGACCCUGUCUCUGAAAAAAUAAAUAAAAUAGUUUUAAACUUAGAAAAAAAAGGUUCAUGUCAAAGCCUUCCUACUCGAUAAGACUUUUUGACCACUGCAACUAGAGAGGAUCUUGUCUGUCUCUGAAUACUACACACUUAUGGCACUUACACACUUAUGGCUCUUUUUUAUCAUUCAUCUAGUACAGACCUUGUGCCAAAAAGGAAUAUUGUUAUGUGGAUUCAGAGUGAUAAUUAAAGACAUGUGUUUGAUGGUGAAUCAUAAACAACCCUUUUACUUCGCAGUCUCUCUGAUUAGUCUUCCCAGCCUAAAGGAAAAAAAAAAAAAUCUUGACUUUUCAACCUACCCUUUCUCCUAAGGAAAAUAAUAAUAAAGUUUAAUAAUGAUAUAUGUAAA